AAAGGAAUAGACGGGGGCCCGCACAAGCGGUGGAGCAUGUGGUUUAAUUCGACGCAACGCGAAGAACCUUACCAGGGCUUGACAUCCUUCGAAUCCUUAUGAAAGUAGGGAGUGCCCUUUCGGGGGAGCGAAGAGACAGGUGGUGCAUGGUUGUCGUCAGCUCGUGUCGUGAGAUGUUGGGUUAAGUCCCGCAACGAGCGCAACCCCUACGGUUAGUUGCUAACGGGAGAGCCGAGCACUCUAGCAGAACUGCCGGUGACAAACCGGAGGAAGGUGGGGAUGACGUCAAAUCAUCAUGCCCUUUAUGUCCUGGGCUACACACGUGCUACAAUGGCUGGUACAAAGGGCAGCGAAAUCGCGAGGUGGAGCGAAUCCCAAAAAGCCAGUCACAGUUCGGAUUGCAGGCUGCAACUCGCCUGCAUGAAGUCGGAAUCGCUAGUAAUCGCAGGUCAGCAUACUGCGGUGAAUACGUUCCCGGGCCUUGUACACACCGCCCGU
rnacentral:rRNA from 1 species